rnacentral:rRNA from 1 species
UAGGGAAUCUUCGGCAAUGGACGAAAGUCUGACCGAGCAACGCCGCGUGAGUGAAGAAGGUUUUCGGAUCGUAAAACUCUGUUGUUAGAGAAGAACAAGGACGUUAGUAACUGAACGUCCCCUGACGGUAUCUAACCAGAAAGCCACGGCUAACUACGUGCCAGCAGCCGCUGUAAUACGUAGGUGGCAAGCGUUGUCCGGAUUUAUUGGGCGUAAAGCGAGCGCAGGCGGUUUCUUAAGUCUGAUGUGAAAGCCCCCGGCUCAACCGGGGAGGGUCAUUGGAAACUGGGAGACUUGGGUGCAGAAGAGGAGAGUGGAAUUCCAUGUGUAGCGGUGAAAUGCGUAAAUAUAUGGGGGAACACCAGUGGCGAAGGCGGCUCUCUGGUCUGUAACUGACGCUGAGGCUCGAAAGCGUGGGGGGCAAACAGG